UGGCUGCCAGCCUCAACACAUUGCCAGGGAAUAAGGCAUUAAAGGCACGGAGAAUGGACAGAUUACCCAAGCCAUUACAAUACUCUGGGUUCUCUUUUUUUACAUAAGAACAGGGCACCUAAGGCAAAGUUUAUUGGUUUAGACCUUUUGAAUGCAGAUAUUAUAAGAUGCUGCCUGACCUGCUGAGUUCCUCCAAUGCUAUGUGUGUUGCUCCAGAUUCCAGCAGCUACAGUCUCUUGCGUCUCCAUCUCUACAGUGUGUCCAGCUCUGUCCUCCAUGGAUAUUCACAGGUGUCAAUAUUUGCGAACUCGUUCUCUGGUGCUGUAUAUCCGGAAAAUGGAAAGCCACUGCAACCAAGACAUGCUGAUGGUGGAACUGAAAGCUGUGGAAUCCAAGGCUGUUCUCAUCAGGAAAGACUCCUUUAUCUAUCCAUCUUGAACCAGUUUUCAGUAUAAAGAAAGACCACAAGAGUGAAAAGGGCUCAACAACCAUGCUGCGCUGGAGGUUUUCCCAGUUCUACUUUCCAGAUAUGUCUAGCAAAACCCAACUCAGAUCAUGAACAUAGCUCCACCACCGUGCAAGUUACUAAGCAAUGUGCAUUUCCUGCUUUACAG